UUAUUUAAUACCAAAAAUAUUUUCCUCAUUGUAUUACCAAGGAAUAAUGUGUCAGAUGUGAGGCAGAAUAAAUUCUGGGUCCAGACAGACAGGACUGAAUGGAUGGUCAAUGAGGUGGUGAGUCACAACCAGAUUAUAAGAGGGAGAGACGAUCCACAUGCUGGUUGGUGGUUUUGCAAGUCGGGGCUUUGAACACAAUAUUGGAGAAAUGACGGGCGGAAUGUAACAUUGUAGAGUUGUGUAUUUCCUAAUGCAUUUCUGUUUUUUUGCAUCUGGCAACUUAGCAAGGAGAAUAUGGAGCUGGGUGCCCUGAUGUGCCAAACAGCUUUGCUUUGCCAAGUGGAGCUUUAACAAUUUAGUAUAAGCUCCUCUCGUUACUUAAUAUUUCGUAUUAAUUUAUUCAUGUAAUUUAUUGACUAAUUGAGCCAGAUCUGACGGGGAGAGAAAGAACAGACAGACAGAAAGGAAGGAAGGAAGGAAUAUCCAAAAGUUGUUGUAUCUGUAAUAGAGGAUAAAACCCAAACACUCACAAAAACACAAACCAAAGGCAACACAAUGGCAACAAAAAAAGUCUGCCUAAGGACCGGAAUAGUUAUGUGUACACAAGUGCAUGAGAAUGUGAGUGUGUGUGUGUGUGUGUGUGUGGAUGUAUGUAUGCAUGAGAUUGUGUUGAAUGGGUGCAGACAGGAUCAACUAACAUUAAUUGCAGCAACAGUCGACAGCUGCAAUGAUUGACUUGGAGAGGAAGGCAAGGACAGGUACACAGACUGAGGAGGACUCAACAAGGGACAGGUGCGGCUCAUGGCUAGCAGUGCCCUCUGCUGGCGACAUGGAGACAUGACAGGCAAAAUAUAACACGAUGGAGUUUACAAUAUUUUUUUCCCUGUAUUUCCUAAUACAUUUCAAUGUAUAGCUGUUUUACUCACUGUAAAAUGUUUCGUUUUCCUCUGUAGGUGGGUACACCUAUUACUGGUCUGGUCCCUCUAAUGGCUGCCAUACUCAGGGAGUAGCUGUUGCUGUGGCAGAUCGACUUGAACCAAGAUGGUGGCUUAGGCAGACAGUACAGCGGCUACUCCAGAGCCCUGAGCCGCAUCUUUGGGCUUGAUACUCUCAUACUGCUGGUGUGGCGAGGAAAUCACUCACAUCCUCAUGAGCAGACACUGGAGGCUCCUCCAAAAUUGCAGGGUCUACAGAAGUGCCCAGAUUGUGAAUUCUGAUCUACUCCGAAGAUUCAGCUUAGGUCCAGUAGGCCACCAUCUACUAGGAGGAAGAGGCUGGACCUGAGUCCAUGCAGUUGAGUCUGCAUGCAGUUUGUGGCACCCUGGAUAUCAUUGAGAGGAGUGGUAGCACACACAGCGUGAUUGAAACUUUGGUCAGUACCGGGAACUGAAGGACGGCUACGAGGGCAGUGAGGGCAGAUAAGGAGGCGUUUGAUAGAGGAAUCUGUGAACAAGUGACACAACAUCUGUGGUGAAGUGACCCACAUCCUGCUUACAGAGGAAUCAGAGCAUUACACACCCAUGGGGAUUUUUUUGUAAUAACAUAUGAAUCUUACAUGUUUUACCGAAGACAUUUAACCUCUUUAUAUGACACUCAAAAUAAAUACUGUAUACAAUUCAUAUUAACUGAAUGUGUUAUUAGGCAUAAAUUACCUUUACUGAUGUAAAAUACAUAUGACAUUAAUGUGCCGUCAAAAACAGGUGCAGGAGAGAUUUUUCAAGGGACCAAACAAUGAACUAAAUGGAACCUAACAUGAAGUUUUCUCAGGUCUAAUUAAACCCACUUAAUGUGGAGAGAUCAUACAUAAGAAUUAUAUAAAAGCAAUAUAAUUUUUUAUCAAGAAACAACAAGCAAUAAACAUGCAUUUCCUAUUAAAGUGAUAUGUUAUCAUGUAUGGUAAAAUAUAAAGUUAAUGUUGGUAUGAAUGUGGCCAUAAUCGUACAAGAGCUUGUAAUAAACUUAUAAAAACA